rnacentral:tRNA from 1 species
GGAAGUGUGCCUGAAAGAUAAGGUCCUCCUUGAUAGGGAGGCUCAUAGGGGUUCAAACCCCCUCGCUUCCU